AUUGAACGCUGGCGGCAGGCCUAACACAUGCAAGUCGAACGGUAACAGGAAGAAGCUUGCUUCUUUGCUGACGAGUGGCGGACGGGUGAGUAAUGUCUGGGAAACUGCCUGAUGGAGGGGGAUAACUACUGGAAACGGUAGCUAAUACCGCAUAACGUCGCAAGACUAAAGAGGGGGACCUUCGGGCCUCUUGCCAUCGGAUGUGCCCAGAUGGGAUUAGCUAGUAGGUGGGGUAACGGCUCACCUAGGCGACGAUCCCUAGCUGGUCUGAGAGGAUGACCAGCCACACUGGAACUGAGACACGGUCCAGGCUCCUACGGGAGGCAGCAGUGGGGAAUAUUGCACAAUGGGCGCAAGCCUGAUGCAGCCAUGCCGCGUGUAUGAAGAAGGCCUUCGGGUUGUAAAGUACUUUCAGCGGGGAGGAAGGGAGUAAAGUUAAUACCUUUACUCAUUGACGUUACCCGCAGAAGAAGCACCGGCUAACUCCGUG
rnacentral:rRNA from 1 species